rnacentral:lncRNA from 1 species
AUGACUCUUUCCCCUGUUCUCUGAAAUUCUCGGUAGUAAUGUGCAGUUUCGGUUUUGCAUUUUAUAAAAGUAGUAAACGAAGUCCAAAUGACUUGAAAUUUUACCGGUGUGCUCAAGACUCAUGUAGAGACUUGCUAUAAAAUUUUCAAAGCUUUUUGACAUCGAAAAACCGUCGAUCACAGUAGGUCAGUGGCCUACGAAAAUCACCAAAAUCUCAUCUCAAACUCUUUAAAUGCUCAACUCAACAUCCCUUCAAGAAAACUCAUCAAGA